rnacentral:rRNA from 1 species
UGGGGAAUUUUGGACAAUGGGGGAAACCCUGAUCCAGCCAUCCCGCGUGUGCGAUGAAGGCCUUCGGGUUGUAAAGCACUUUUGGCAGGAAAGAAACGUCAUGGGUUAAUACCCCGUGAAACUGACGGUACCUGCAGAAUAAGCACCGGCUAACUACGUGCCAGCAGCCGCGGUAAUACGUAGGGUGCAAGCGUUAAUCGGAAUUACUGGGCGUAAAGCGUGCGCAGGCGGUUCGGAAAGAAAGAUGUGAAAUCCCAGAGCUCAACUUUGGAACUGCAUUUUUAACUACCGGGCUAGAGUGUGUCAGAGGGAGGUGGAAUUCCGCGUGUGGAAGUGAAAUGCGUCGAUAUGCGGAGGAACACCGAUGGCGAAGGCAGCCUCCUGGGAUAACACUGACGCUCAUGCACGAAAGCGUGGGGAGCAAACAGG